rnacentral:lncRNA from 1 species
CCAGCCAUGAGGGUGAGCAUCUUCCUGUAGUUGGGCCACCCCAGCUGACAGUGUAUGGAACAGAGUCAACUCUUCCCUGUUAAGCCUUGUCCAAACUCAUUAAUAGGUGUGUGGUUGAAGGCGCUUCUGGAGACAGAGUCAUGGUUCUUGGGGCUUCGCUUUGGCCUCAGUGGGAAGCUGUUUGGUGAGAACACUUUGAAAUCUUGUCUGUCUUCUGGGUCCCUUCUUUUGAGUGUUUUUCCUUUGAACCAGAAAGGCUUGUUUAGCUGAGAGCAAAUGCAGCUUAAAUUUACUGACCUUCUUCUGGCCUAAGCCCCUUGGAGCUGCCAAAGACUUCCAAGCAGGUGGGAGGCUGCCAUCCAGAACCCUCACAUCCCUUUCAGAGGGGCUGGAGAUGCUUUUUUUCCUCCCCCUUUUCUGCUUCUGAGGCUUUCAGAAAUGAGCCAGAGACAGAGAAAAGCACAGUUACUGGAGUCCUUGAAGCUUCUUGGGGUGGAGAGAUCUAGAAUUCUUGAAUGCCAGGAAGAAGCUGUUCAGGUGCUGCUUGGGUCCCACAGUAGAGAUCAUCUGGUCUCUGCCCUGCCUUGGCCACAGCAGCCCACUCCAUCUGAGUGCAGCCCAGGAAGUGGAGGAAUCUGGUUCGGGAGCAGUUCUCCUGAUUUCCCCUGGAGUGCCCCUUAGCUUCCUGCUUC